rnacentral:rRNA from 1 species
GUCUAUGGCCAUGCCACCCUGAACAAGCCCGAUCCUGUCUGAUCUCAGAAGCUAAGCAGCAUGUGGCAUGGUUAGUAUUUGGAUGGGAAACCACCUAGUAAGACCAGGUGCUAUAGGCA